rnacentral:snoRNA from 1 species
AUGCAUCUCUGAGAGACCUGGGGCAGUUAAGGUCUGCUGCUAAGGUUUCCACUACAGAUGGAAGGAAAAGAAGGUCCUUGUGCUUUCUGUCUAUCUGGUUGUGGCAGCCAAGAUUGAAUGAGGGAAUAAGGAA